ACGGGUGAGUAACGCGUGGGAACCUACCUCUUGGUGCGGAAUAACUUCGGGAAACCGGUGCUAAUACCGCAUACGCCCUCCGGGGGAAAGAUUUAUCGCCGAGAGAUGGGCCCGCGUCGGAUUAGCUAGUUGGUGAGGUAAAGGCUCACCAAGGCGACGAUCCGUAGCUGGUCUGAGAGGAUGAUCAGCCACACUGGGACUGAGACACGGCCCAGACUCCUACGGGAGGCAGCAGUGGGGAAUAUUGGACAAUGGGCGCAAGCCUGAUCCAGCCAUGCCGCGUGAGUGAAGAAGGCCUUAGGGUUGUAAAGCUCUUUCGACGGGGAAGAUAAUGACGGUACCCGUAGAAGAAGCCCCGGCCAACUUCGUGCCAGCAGCCGCGGUAAUACGAAGGGGGCUAGCGUUGUUCGGAAUCACUGGGCGUAAAGCGCACGCAGGCGGACUGAUAAGUCAGGGGUGAAAUCCCGGGGCUCAACCUCGGAACUGCCUUUGAUACUGCCAGUCUCGAGUCCGGGAGAGGUGAGUGGAAUUCCUAGU
rnacentral:rRNA from 1 species